CUAGCAGCACUGAAAAAUUGAAGCCCUCUAUUUAUUCACAGUCUAGGUACGGUGCAGGCAGCCGCAAUGCGAGCUUCCAUACACUGCCCUGGUAAUGAUCUCCACCUUGACCUGGAGGGACCAUCCUCUCUGGGGGUGUAAAGGUAAUCCAGCCUCCAUGCUAGCCUAGUCAUUGGGAUGCA
rnacentral:sRNA from 1 species